CCUACGGGAGGCAGCAGUGAGGAAUAUUGGUCAAUGCACGAGAGUCUGAACCAGCCAAGUAGCGUGAAGGAUGACUGCCCUAUGGGUUGUAAACUUCUUUUAUAUGGGAAUAAAAUGUUCCACGUGUGGGCUUUUGUAUGUACCCUAUGAAUAAGGAUCGGAUAACUCCGUGCCAGCAGACGCGGUAAUACGGUGAAUCCGAGCGUUAGUCGGAUUUAUUGGGUUUAAAGGGAGCGUAGGUGGAUUGUUAAGUCAGUUGUGAAAGUUUGCGGCUCAACCGUGAAAUUGCAGUUGAAACUGGCAGGCUUGAGUACAGUAGAGGUGGGUGGAAUUCGUGGUGUAGCGGUGAAAUGCUUAGAUAUCACGAAGAAUUCCGAUUGCGAAGGCAGCCCACUGGACUGCAACUGACACUGAGGUUCGAAAGUGUGGGUAUCAAACAGGAUUAGAUACCCUAGUAGUC
rnacentral:rRNA from 1 species